AACAAUCUGCUCUCUGGAAAUUGCUGCAAUGCUUGUCAAAAGUCACUGUUUUAUCCCGUAAUUUUCUACAAGGAGAACACAGUGGAGGCCAAGCCAGCAGCAGUCCUCCUGAACUUCAGGCUGGAUUCAUUUAGUGGAUUGGAACUCCUAGGCCAAAGAUCUCUUGAGCUUUGUUUCCUGAAAGACUUCACUUGGGUGUUUCUAAGACAACUUGAUGUUCCUCAGCUGGGCAGAAGGCAUUCAAGCAGUAUACCUCUCCAGAGAAGUGGGAAUCUUAAGCUUGAAAGACUCCUGAGGCAAAUGGUAUUUCAGUCUCAUUGAAAUCCAGCGAGGCACCAAGCACUGAACAAAAACCCCCCAGAAAUUACAGAAGAAAUAACAGGAGAGACUUGAAAUCACCUGAAUCAAUAGGAGUUCUUACCCUGCCCUGCAGAUAGGAAUUAAGGCUGAUCAGGACAUACUCUUUGUCCUAGUACUACUCUGAAACAAAGAAAGAUGAGGACUGGAAUUGCAGAUUCAGAGAAGGCAAGUAAGUUUCCAGUCUAAGAGUUAAGAAAAGAGAAGCAAUCAUUCAAUCAGAAUCAUUCAAGUUAGUAUUUAAUGAUAGACUGAAACUUGCAUUUGGGAAAUCACUUCAUAACUUACCCCAGAUAAAAUGAAAAGAGUAGUACCUUUUACCUGAAAGACAAAAAAAAGUAGUAUUUUUCUCAACCAUCUACUUAAGAAAAUUGGGUAUAAAUUGAUACGAAUUGGUUAUUGAAGCAGAGGCACCACUAAAACUGUGACUGAUUCUAUUAAGUCCUCUCCCAUUUUGUCCUGCAAAACAAUCUCAUAUUCUCAUUAGAAUGUCUGGAGACAGCUCUGUGAGUGACUACAGAUUUCUUUUCAAGAGUCUGUAAAUGUUUCAGAUGCAUCUGAGAGGCCAUACACCGGUUACACAUUAACAUUUGCCAAAAAUACUGACACUUCAUUGUUACUGAACUAACAUAACACAGCUAUUCAUACUUGGCCACCUACCUACGCAUUCCAAUAUACAAAACACUGUGAGGGAAGAAAAUUGAAGUGGGAUCAUCAUUUGGCAGAUACAUAUCAUAAAUUAGCGAUCUUCCCAAGGCUUUUCACUGAACCAACAUCGCAGCUAAAUAGCUGUCACCGGUAAGAACUAUGCUCACACUGUAAGGAAAUGGAGUAAGAAGAAAUCAUUAAUACAAACAUUAUUAAACAGUUAUUGAUUCUUCGGAAGAUAAACUGAGAGGGACAUACAAACAUUCUCAGUUGUAUCAAGGCACCAAGGUAAGGAGUGCCAGUUAUUGAAAGCUGCUUGAGUCAGGACCCUGAGUGAAGCAUAAGGGGUCACUUAUGUCAUGACAACCUUUGUCCACCUGUUGAGGAGCUUGGCUGCCUGUGCUCGGGGCAAGACUGUCACCUGGGAUCAGGUGCUGUGAAAUAGGCCUGUGGGACAUUCCCACUGGGGGCUUCUUGUCUGUUGAGAGGUAUGUUCACACUCAGAUGUGAGGUUGCAGGUGUGCCAGCUCCUGGUUCUGUGACCUGUGAAGAUCACAGGUCUGAUCUCUGGUCUGAUCUCCAGUCUGUUGUCACUUGGCUACCUGGCUUGACCACACACCUGUUUUGUCACUACUGAUUUUUCUGGCAGUGAAUGAUUUCUGGCUAAUCUUGGUUGCCACUGCCAAACCUGCUUUGCUGUUUUUGCUCAGGUAUUAUGGGGAAGUAGUUCCCACUGGUCUUGCUGUCCCCCUUUGUGCCUGGUUGGAGUUCUGUGGGUGGCUCACCUGCUCCAGGCCACCAGCUGCCCUGGUGAGAAGGGGACAGUGUUUCCAGCCCCUGGGCGGUUAGCUGGAGCCACCAACAGGCACAUUUCUCACUUGGCUUCCUUAGAGAAGAACUUCAAGGAAUUUCGAUACUUGUGUUUCAAAUGGAAGGAAGCAGGACACAUAGGAACCAGAUUUCCUCUAAUUAAUACCACAAGACACAUUUAUUUUGGUGGGAGAGACUGUAGCCAAUUGUAAAUACCUUUAUAAAUGUUUUUGGAAUUGAUGGUCUACUUUUGCAAGCCUCUCCAGAUCCUUACGACCUUCAAGACUUCCAUCUGUUAUCCAAAAUGAAACACUAAUGGAUAUAGUUUUACAGAGUAUGUUAAUUAAAAAAAAAAAAAAAAAAGUAAUGCUGAAAUCACUGACAUACUUGGUUAGUGUUUUGUAAUUAAUAUUUUUCCCCCUUUUAAAACCACUAAAGCACUUUGUGGACUGUUACUCUGCCACUACUAUCAAAUAAGGUAGGAAAUAUUUUAGAAUAUUUUGAUUCCUAUUUUUACUCCAAUUUACAUUAUGGCAUAUUAAAGAUUUCCAUUGUUCAAAUUGGUGAACUGAUGUUUAAAUGUCUUUACACUUUUCAUCAUGGAUUUGAUAUAACUAAUGUAACUAAUUAGUACUGAAGUACAACUUUUAUCACAUUUUUGCAGAUAUACUUUUAAAACAUUUAUUCUGAUUAUUUGUUUAUUAAGAUAUGCUAAUUCAAAUAAAAAUGUUGAUUUGAUUUAGUAAGAACUCUGACAUCUGUUCAUAAUCCUUCAUAUAAAACUCCUAACAAGAAUUCUGUUAGUCCCGUAACAUAGUGGUAUUACUGUAAAUGUCACAAAGGGUUUAUGUUUUUACCAUUUUAAACAAAGAUGUUCAAUGCUAAUACCUAUUCCUCAACUAUCUUUUUGAAACCACUAUCCUGAGAAGUAAAUAAUGUUUGGAAGAAGGCAAAUUUUUAAUGCAGAGCAGCACAGUCAUCAAUAGCCUACAAAAUACACUUUAAAAAUCAUGCUUUUGCAAACAUGGCACAGACUCUGCUGUAGCACUGAAUGCUCUAAAAGCUGCAGAUAUAUUUUAGAAAACACUGAUGAAGCCAUUACUGCUUCAUGCAUUUGUUCAUAGUAUAUAUCAUUAUUCAAGAAAUUUAAGAACCAUAAUGAUGGAAAAUCACACAGAAAGAAAAGGAACAUGGACUUUGUCAGAAACAAGGGCUACAUUUUUAUUCAAGAGGCCUAUAAUGAUGGAAAAUCACAGUGAAAGGCAGAGACGAAACAGGGAUCCCAUAAAGGGACUGACACACCACAGUGGCACAAGUAGUAGAACCGUCACAGCAAGUGGAUAAAAAUAAAGAAAACAAAAUUAACUAGAGAAGAGCUGGAUUCCAGGAUGAAGCAGAAAACAGAAGCAAAUCACAGUAAAUGCUGAAGAUUAAUUUCAAAGAAUCUGCUGAGAAUGAGUGCAGAGACAAGUUCCAUCAAUAUUAAUGAAACUGAAAUAGAACUCCAAAUGACCAUGAGUACAAAAUGGCACACAAAGCAUUUUCUUUUAAAUAGGUUGGAGAUUAGAUCAUAAGACCUUCCCAAAAAUGAACAGAAUACACAAAAGAUGUUAUUAUGGGAAAAACGAUAAACAAUCACAACAUAAUUAAUAUUUCUAUAGUUCUUUUUUAAGAUUUAUCAGCAUGCACAUUUAUUAUAAAAGGAUGGUUCAUAGAAGAGAUAUUUAGGAAAAUAAGCAGAGAAGAGUAUUUUCUCAUGUACAAUGUUCCACAAAUAUCUUAAAGGGAUCUUGUAUAACUUCAAGUAGCUGUCUUUGACUCAUUUUUUUUAAGCAGUCUAAAAGAGCUAGAUACCUCAAAUCCUUAAUAAUAUGUUCCAUUUUAGGUUUAUAUAAUGCACAAGGAAAUGUUAUUGCCCACCUUGAAGUGAAAAAAACAAUAACUGUUACAUAUAAGUUGACAGUCAAAGUUCUGUGCAGUCAGGAAAUAAGCUUUUCUUCCUAAAUUACUUAAGCUGCCCACUCGUAUUACACAGCCAUGAGUAUAGGCUGUGGAUCUUUCAGAGAUUCUUGUAUUCUUGACAUUAAAAAGUUUUGUCCCACCGGCUGACAACUGUAUUCACUUCUCAUCAGAUAGCCUAUGUUUAGAAACAAAGGGUCACACUUUAAAGACCUGAUUUUUAAAAAAGACCAACACCAAUGUGUAAUUUCUUGGAUGAUGUUGUCAGGAGUCCUGUAAAUUGUGACUGGCAUGUCAAAUACUGUAAAAUCUUUAGCAGAAGAGCAGAGCGAGUACCUUUUCCGAUAAAAAUUGCUCUUUCCUAUGAACGUUCAUUGUGACAGGCAAAAUUUCAGUGUCACAGAGAGAGAGGCACUAUCAAUCUGUUUCACUUAUGUAAAAAAUUAAACUAUUAAAGGCUUUUUCAUUUGUCAUAAGAGUGGCCACAUCUUUCUUCUCAUAGCAGGUCACUGAUGUUAUUUCAGUGCCUUCCCACAGCUGAUCAGCAGUAGUUCUCUACUUUAGGGUUCUCAAUGCGCCUGCUGCCAAUGCAUAAACCUUUCUUUUACAUUGUAGUAAAGAUGUGAUGAUCUAAAUAAAGCUAUUGAGAGGAAUAAAAAUACUUUGUAGGGCAAGGUUUUGGUUUAAAAGGGAGACUGGGAUAUAAAAUACUGGAAUAAGUGUAAAAAUGAUGUAGAUUAGGUUUGGCAGAAAAACAGUUAUUUGUGGUAGGCCAUACUCUCGUGUUUCUUCA